AUCAGCUUUCGAUUGUAGGUUAAACCCCUACAAUGGCUGUAACGGGUAACGGGGAAUCAGGGUUCGAUUCCGGAGAGGGAGCCUGAGAAACGGCUACCACAUCUAAGGAAGGCAGCAGGCACGCAAAUUACCCACUCCCAGCCCGGGGAGGUAGUGACGAAAAAUAACGAUGCGAGACUCUUCCGAGGCCUCGCAAUCGGAAUGAGUCCAUCCUAAAUCUUUGGACGAGGAUCCAUUGGAGGGCAAGUCUGGUGCCAGCAGCCGCGGUAAUUCCAGCUCCAAUAGCGUAUAUUAAAGUUGCUGCGGUUAAAAAGCUCGUAGUUGGACUUUCUAGAUCCNAUUUCGUGGGUGAGUCGCUUGUUGUACUAGCGAUUCGCGUCAGUCACUAGAUAAUGUCGAGUUUCGGCGGCGAGUACUUCUACUAAGUUGGCUUCGGCUUUCUAUAGGGGAGCCGUCGUCGUUUCGCGGUAAACUUUCUAGCGGACGGUGUUUCUCGGUCUUCGGGUAUAGCUCGCCCGCGUUUGGUACAAUUAAAAUUUUGUCGGCUCGCUCGGAGUGCUCUUUACCGAGUGUUCCAGGGUGGCCGACACGUUCACUUUGAAAAAAUUAGAGUGCUUAAAGCGGGCUGUAAAAACGGCCGGAAUGUCUGUGCAUGGAAUGAAGUAACAGGACCUCGAUUCUGUUCUUUUUGUCGGUUUUAAUGAACCGAGGUAAUGAUUAAAAGGGACAGACGGUGGCAUUAGUAUUGCGACGCUAGAGGUGAAAUUCUUGGACCGUCGCAAGACUAACUACUGCGAAAGCAUUUGCCGAGAAUGUUUUCAUUAAUCAAGAACGAAAGUUAGAGGAUCGAAGGCGAUCAGAUACCGCCCUAGUUCUAACCCUAAACUAUGCUAACUAGCGAUCCGCCGAAGUCAUUCCCACGACUCGGCGGGAAGCCCCAG
rnacentral:rRNA from 1 species